GUCAUUCAUAUACUGCUGCAUGGGCUGGGCUGUAGUUACAUCCUAAGGUUUUAAAAACUGAGCUUAAAUAAAUGAUUAGCGGUAAUAAAAGCCGAGGGAGGUCAACAGUGAUCACUGACUGUUUUAGGAGCUUUUUGAGAUCAAAUAGAAGAAAAUACAUAACAUUAAACAUGUUAACAACACAAAAGCCAUAUUAAACGCAGACUACUUUAGACCCGGAAGUAGGAUUCGUCGCGUCAUCACUGAACAACCGGAUAGUGACAUACGAACUUGGCUACUAACGUCCGCUUAGCAUGGCGGCUAAUUGUCAAGCUUGCUAGCUUAGCCUCGAUUAGCACCUUAAUAACCAUUACUACACAUCACAUCAUAGCAAACACACGAUAACACAUGGAAUACUAUAAUAUAAAUACGAAACAGAUUUUUACCUGGCAGGAGAAUGAACAAUAGUCUUUUUUUAAGGCUACUGCAGAAGGAGAUAUUCCCCGCUAGCUCACCCAAGCUUGCUCUCUGGCAAAGCUACAAGCCAUGUGAGCUCAUAGCCCCUCCCGCUAGGAUGUACUACCACAGUCGACUGUCGUAAAGCAGCCGCAAACCAAUAGCAAUUAAAAAAAAAAAAACCAACAACCUCAAAAUCAUUGAAGAACAUUUUAUAACACCCAAUAUAGAUAUAUACAUAUAUACUGAAUAUCACACAAUAUCAGAUAACCAAAUUAACACUGGGUUACACCACCACUUACUACAGACACCGAUGCAUGUUUGUAAUAGUCUGUUAAUUUAGACUGAAAGAAUAUACAAACAAUAUUAACUCACAUUAUAUAUGUUAAUUACUAAUUUGCUUAUCACAUAAUUUCGGUUACCAUUAGCUGACUGGAGCCUAACAUUGGCCUUUCAUGGUUUUCGAUAAACAGCCCACAUACCUGUAAAAUAACAACACCCCAGUAAAAGUCCACAUAUAUAAAGGGUCUAAACUCUUUCUCACUGGUGUGUUAGCUUUAAAAUCUUAUUUACUUUCAACUGUAAAACUCCAGAUGAUAGUAGAUUUUCCAAAGCGAGAAACAAAAUGGCGGACAGUGCAGCCGAUUUUUCCUUUCCAGGGGGCGGAGCUUGAGGAUAAAACGCGACUAACAUGUGAGUGAGCGCUUUGUUUAGACCCCAAAAUGGCGGAUCGGGCCAAAAUCCUUUCCACGCCCACCCCCGUGACAUCACGCUCCAAAGCCCUAUGACAUCAUAUAGAUCAAAGGCAUGUGAUCCAUUCAAAAGGUAUAAAUAGGGGUGAGAACUGCAAACUUUUAGUCAGUUUAUUCGCAGCACUCAUGUUCGCAGCAUUCAAACAUAAACCUGAGAAACAUUUUGAAACAGUUGGAUCAUUUACACAGUUGUUUUACUAAGAUUCCAACAUGUCUCAGAGAAAACACAGCAAAAAACAACAAGCUUACGCUGGCCCUCUGCUCGAGGGUCCAUCCAUCCAAAGGGCAUUAGCUGAAAGUAGGCAGGAAAACCAAAAUCUACACAACAUGAUUGAACAAAUCCAGGCAGAGAAAAUUCAGCUUGUAGAGAAGUGCAGACACAUGGAGGCCCUAAAUAACCAGUUGGAAGAAAGGCAUAAUGAAUUUGUCAAGAACCAACGAGAAAAAGAAAAUAAUCGAAGGCAGCCCAAUGUGGAUAAUAUAAAUGAGGGCUGGAAAAUACUAUUUAAUCGAGCACAGGAGAAGAUUUUAAACUUGAUGACAGAAAACAAACACAACUGUGCUGAAUUAAGACAAAUGUCCCACCUGCUCGAAGAAAAAGAAGAUAUUAAUCAGGAGCUCUGUGGGAAACUGGAAGACACUGAGUUUAAGAACCUGGAGAUGGAAGGAAAACUUGAUGAAGCCCAGGAAAAAAACAAAGAGUUGCUUCAAGAGAAGAAACAACAGGAAAGAAAGGAGAAAAAAAUGGAAUGUAAACUUCAGACCAUGAAGAAACAAAACAAAGUCUUGCAAGUAAAGCUUAACGAAGCACUGCACAGAAAUGCAGAAAUGUUUCACGAUGAAAGUCUCAUAAACCAGCAAGACGAAGAAAAUAAAAAUACACAAAACCUGCCCAGUGUAAAUAAGGGCUGGGAAAUAAUCUUUAUUGAAGAUCCGCAGCAUAUUGCAAGCCUGAUGACAACAAACAAGCAGAACUGCGACCAGUUAAGAAAAAUGUCCUACCAGCUUCAACAAACAGAAGCUAUUAAUCAGGAGCUCUAUGGGAAUCUCAAAGACACUGAGAACAAGAAUCUGCAGCUUCACCUAAAACUUGAUGAAGCCCUGGAGAAAAACAAAGAGUUUCUUCAAGAGAAACAGCAACAGGAAAAAAUGCAGAAAAAGACACAAGUUAUUCUCCAAGACUUAGAAAGGAAAAAUCUACAGCUACACGCAUGUUCUAAUGAAAUGAAGGAGAAAAUCAUGGAACUAGAAGGAGAAAGGGAAAAACUGAUAAAACAACACUCAGGCGCGCAGCACAUUUGCAAUGAAAUGCUAAGCAAGAACUCAGAGCUUGUGGAACUUUGUAACAUCUUAAAAUACAAAAUUGAUGAAAUCCUGAGAAAGAACACAGAGCUCGAGGGACAGAAUAAGAACUUAAACUACAAAUACAGUGAAAUCCUAAAAAAGAGCACAGAGCUUGAGGAACUUCAUAACAACUUAAAAUACAAAAACAAGAAAAUGCUCAAGGAAAACACAGAGCUCGAGGAAAUUAAUAACAACUUAAAAUACAAAAAGAAGAAAAUGCUCAAGGAAAACACAGAGCUCGAGGAAAUUAAUAACAACUUAAAAUACAAAAACAAGAAAAUGCUCAGGGAAAACACAGAGCUCGAGGAAAUUAAUAACAACUUAAAAUACAAAA
ensembl:lncRNA